GCUCAGGAUGAACGCUGGCGGCGUGCCUAAUACAUGCAAGUCGAACGAGUUCUCGUUGAUGAUCGGUGCUUGCACCGAGAUUCAACAUGGAACGAGUGGCGGACGGGUGAGUAACACGUGGGUAACCUGCCCUUAAGUGGGGGAUAACAUUUGGAAACAGAUGCUAAUACCGCAUAGAUCCAAGAACCGCAUGGUUCUUGGCUGAAAGAU
rnacentral:rRNA from 1 species